UACGUAGGCAGCGAGCGUUGUUCGGAGUUACUGGGCGUAAAGGGUGUGUAGGCGGUUGUUUAAGUUUGGUGUGAAAUCUCCCGGCUCAACUGGGAGGGUGCGCCGAAUACUGAAUGACUUGGAGUGCGGGAGAGGAAAGUGGAAUUCCUGGUGUAGCGGUGAAAUGCGUAGAUAUCAGGAGGAACACCGGUGGUGUAGACGGCUUUCUGGACCGUAACUGACGCUGAGACACGAAAGCGUGGGGAGCAAACGGG
rnacentral:rRNA from 1 species